rnacentral:rRNA from 1 species
UACGAAGGGGGCUAGCGUUGUUCGGAAUUACUGGGCGUAAAGCGUGCGUAGGCGGCUUCUCAAGUCAGGGGUGAAAGCCCAGAGCUCAACUCUGGAAUUGCCUUUGAGACUGAGUGGCUUGAGUACGAGAGAGGUGAGUGGAAUUCCCGGUGUAGCGGUGAAAUGCGUAGAUAUCAGGAGGAACACCGAUGGCGAAGGCAGGUCUCUGGGCCACUACUGACGCUGAGAAGCGAAAGCGUGGGGAGCGAACAGG